CCGAACUAGGUGCCAGAGGCCGCGGUAAGACGGAGGGUGCAAACGUGGCUCGGAAUCACUGGGCGGAAAGGGCGUGUAGGCGGGAGGGAAAGUCAGAUGUGAAAUCCCCAGGCUCAUCCUGGGAACUGCAUUUGAAACUCCCCUUCUUGAGUAUCGGAGAGGAAAGCGGAAUUCCUGGUGUAGAGGUGAAAUUCGUAGAUAUCAGGAGGAACACCAGUGGCGAAGGCGGCUUUCUGGACGAUUACUGACGCUGAGACGCGAAAGCGUGGGGAGCAAACAGGAUUAGAUACCCCAGUAGUC
rnacentral:rRNA from 1 species